GGAAGUGUGCCAGAGCGGUCGAAUGGGACUCACUGCUAAUGAGUUAUGGGUGUUAAAGUCCAUCGCAGGUUCGAAUCCUGUCACUUCCGCCA
rnacentral:tRNA from 1 species